UUCGCAAAUAAAAUUGAAGCAACGGCACAUCCUUUUCACUUAAUUGGGUUGGAUCACAAACUUCAGACUGCAUCUUAUUCUUAAAUUCUUCAGCUUGUUUAACGACUCUUUUCAAUAGUUCAAUUUCAAUUGGUUGAAAAGGUAAGGUGGGUAUGUCAUCAACCAUUUUCUGUAACUCUAUCAAUGGUGGUCUAUGAGAAUGGCGAGGUACCUCAACACGAUAAUCGCAAAUGGGGCAAAUAAACUUUUCAUCCGCUCGCAAUUUCUUUUUCGACAUUUUCAUGCAUUUAGCAUGAUACCACUCAUGACAAAGCUCGCAUUCAAUCAUCAUCCCAGCCUCUGGCUGUCUACAAAAGCAGUAAUGAAAGUCGGACGGAUCAGAACCAGCAAUUACAUAGUAUUCAUUACCUACAUGGAAAGGAGCAUCCGAUCCUUCAUCAACCAUUGCAUUUGUGUUUCUCUGCUCAACAAACUCCAGAUGCUGAUUAAAUAUUUCAAGAGGCGCAUUAGCUUUCCCAAACAAUCUCUUUCCACGUCGAACCCACUCGUAUGUUUGUGUCAGUAAUUUUUGAGCAACAGUAUAUUCCUCAGGCUUGUUAGUAAGAUUUUCGGACUCAGCUAGCACUGUUUUUGCUUCUUCAAUAGUCGGUCUACUAUAAUAAUCAGGAUCCCUAGCGCGACUAAUUAAAGAAACAAGCUGAGUAUGAAAAUUUUCCGA